rnacentral:rRNA from 1 species
GACGAACGCUGGCGGCGUGCCUAAUACAUGCAAGUCGAACGAACCGCGACUAGGUGCUUGCACUUGGUCAAGGUGAGUGGCGAACGGGUGAGUAACACGUGGGUAACCUACCUCAUAGUGGGGGAUAACAGUCGGAAACGACUGCUAAUACCGCAUAGGACAUAGGAUCACAUGAUCCAGUGAGGAAAGGUGGCGCAAGCUAUCGCUAAGAGAUGGACCCGCGGUGCAUUAGCUAGUUGGUAGGGUAAAGGCCUACCAAGGCGAUGAUGCAUGGCCGACCUGAGAGGGUGAUCGGCCACAUUGGGACUGAGACACGGCCCAAACUCCUACGGGAGGCAGCAGUAGGGAAUCUUCCGCAAUGGACGCAAGUCUGACGGAGCAACGCCGCGUGAGUGAAGAAGGUCUUCGGAUCGUAAAGCUCUGUUGUUAGAGAAGAACAGCGCAUAGAGUAACUGUUAUGCGUGUGACGGUAUCUAACCAGAAAGCCACGGCUAACUACGUG